rnacentral:rRNA from 1 species
GACGUAGGGCGCGAGCGUUGUCCGGAUUUAUUGGGCGUAAAGAGCUCGUAGGCGGCUUGUCGCGUCGUCCGUGAAAUUCCAUGGCUCAACUGUGGGCUUGCGGUCGAUACGGGCAGGCUGGAGUUCGGUAGGGGAGACUGGAAUUCCUGGUGUAGCGGUGAAAUGCGCAGAUAUCAGGAGGAACACCGGUGGCGAAGGCGGGUCUCUGGGCCGAUACUGACGCUGAGGAGCGAAAGCGUGGGGAGCGAACAGG